rnacentral:rRNA from 1 species
GAUCCUGGCUCAGGAUGAACGCUAGCUACAGGCCUAACACAUGCAAGUCGAGGGGCAGCGGGGUUGAAGCUUGCUUCAAUUGCCGGCGACCGGCGCACGGGUGAGUAACGCGUAUCCAACCUUCCGCUUACUCGGGGAUAGCCUUUCGAAAGAAAGAUUAAUACCCGAUGGUAUCUUAAGCACGCAUGAGAUUAAGAUUAAAGAUUUAUCGGUAAGCGAUGGGGAUGCGUUCCAUUAGGCAGUUGGG